rnacentral:lncRNA from 1 species
ACAGAAGCUGUGGAAGGCGCCAUCCUGCCUGCCACAGGAAGGGCCUUGGACUGAGAGGACCGGAGCUGACUGGGGGUAAGUGCGGCUCUCCCCCGGCGCCUGCCGACCCCCCUGAGUGAUCAGGCCGUUCUUUGGGGUGGCCGCUGACCGAGAAAUGACGGGAGGCUGCUGACUCCGGUGUUGAAAAAGAUGCCACCCAGCGCCUGAGCAACAGGAGGUGUUGAACACACCAUAACUUUGUCUUCCAUGAUUAUUCUGUUUCCUCAGAAAGCUUGAGGAAAACUGGAGACUUUCUUUAGAGAGAGUAACAGAUGGUUUCCGUUUAAAGAAAAAUAACAAAAUGGCUUAAGGAGGAAAAGAAAUGAUCACCCUGCAGAGGGAGAGAGGAUGAGGCUGGGGAGGAGCUGAGGGCUCAGGGACGGUGUGGGGUUUUAUUUCUGCCCUUGGAGUGGCUGGACAUUAAGCCAGUUCUUGUUUUUACGAUGGCCUGAUUCAGCAAUAACACCAAACCUUCAAACAAAAUGCCGGCAUUAGAGUCGUUCCUUUGGCAUGCCUCUGUCCAGGUCAUAUUGUUCCCUCAAUAGCACUAAAAAUAGCUGGACACCUGUGCAGAAAUGAGACAGUUCCUUAGGAAUCCCCAAGCCUCAGCAAUUCUCUUUAAAAAGAGUCCGUGGAGGCCCCAACUUGGCUAAAAA